UACUCGAGGUAAUACAGUUUAAGGAGAGCUAAUGACAAUUAGUAAACAAUUAAGUAUGGCAGUAAAAAGGUAUAAUCAGAGAGGUAUGUUAUUUAAUCUGACGGCGCACAGAACACCUAACUUAAGCUCAUUUUCCAUACCGCCGUCUAAAGAGUGUGCUUUCUAGCACACCCUCUUAAUAGAUACGUGUCUAAGAAGUCAGGUAGACGUGGAGAGCAUGCUUAAGGAUGUUAUGUAUCUCACUUCUAAAAAGAAAUUGCAAAGCAAUUUUGGCAGAGAAUUGCUGAGUUGAAUUUGAUAGUACUGUGUUUUCAUAAGCAGCUUAGGAAAACUGUCCUUUUGUGUA
rnacentral:rRNA from 1 species